AAAUAAUUUUGGCUUAUGGUUCCUCGGAAAUGCAAUUCCUGGAAAACAUCUAUUUGCUUUUACAAAUCAUCUAGAGCAACCAUUUGUAUUCACUAAUCAACUAAAUGUGAGAUGAAAUUGUAUUUGGUUAUACUUUUUUUUUUCUGGUAAAUAAACUUUUAUUUAUUACCAGUAGUAAUUACAAAACAUUUGGUUAUACUUUUUCUAUUUAAAAAAAAUCACUUUUUUGAAUUUAUGAAGAUGGAAUUAAAAAAAAAAAUCUAAAGUAUUUUUUCAAAUUUGAAAUUCAAGCUAAAUUUAAAAUUUUAUAAUUAACUACCAAUUUUAAAAUAAAAUAAAAUAAAUAUUUAAAAGGCAAAUAAAUAUUAAAAGAAAAAAUAAAUAAUUGUCAUAAUCAAAAGACUUAUUAAUUUCCACAAUGGCAACGUCGAAAUAAAUAAAUAAACAGAGAAAGUUCACACAUUGGAAGAACACGUUUUGUCCCGCAAGUUCUUGAGAAAUGACAACAUGAUUUGUUUUUCUACGGAGAAGCCAUAAAAAAGUCUACACAAACUUGUUAGACGAAAAUUCUGACAAAAAGUCGCUGACUAAAAAAUAGAGUAUAUACUAUUUUUAAUUACUUUCUCCGCCCGAAUAUGGAGUUAUGGAUAUGAAGCCUGACAUGGUUGACAAUCCAAUUUACAGAAACCAUUUUCUCUUUUGUUUAUAAGGAAAGUUUAUUUGUAGAGAUUCUCCUAGGUAAAGGUUUGUUUUGACUUUUGAGGAAGUUUAGAAAAUGAAUAGAGUUUGGACCUAAUUAGACAUUUAUAAUUAUAAUUUGGGUAUUUUAAGCAAUAGUUUGAGAGAGGAGAGUGAGGAGAGAGGAGAGAGGUGAGAGGAGAGGUGAAUAAGAAUUGGAAGAAACAAGAGAAAUGCUAGAUACAGGUUGUGUUCGAUUAAUACAGGUUAUAUACGUCGAAUACAAUCUGAUGACAUACAAACUGUAUUCUAUACAUACAGACAGAUAUAAGUGGUGUCACUAUGUUGAUGUUUACCCUAAAAGAAAACAGUUGAAUUUGUAAGCAAGGAUCGAAUUAUUCAGAUAAAAUGAAGUAAUUAUAAUGAAUAAUACUAUAAAUAAGAAUAGAAAUAAGCAGUUGAAGUAUAGAGAUCAAUAUAUCCUAAACUGUCUUGAGUCUAAAAACUCAUAAGACCAUGUCAUUAUCGACACAAAAUUAAGGUUGUAAGGAGAGUAAUAUUAUUUGAUCGAAAGUAUUCGAUAAGGUACAUGGUCAUGAUCCGAUAGUUUAUAUAACGAUGGUUUUUCAGGAUCUGAUUAUUGCGCAUUAACUCCUCCAUAAUACAUGAUCAAUGAUUAAAUAAAUGACAUUAAUAACAAAGAGCAAACACACUGGUGUUAUCCACAGGUCUGUUACAUAACGACUAUUAAUGGCGUN
rnacentral:lncRNA from 1 species